rnacentral:rRNA from 1 species
GACGAACGCUGGCGGCGUGCUUAACACAUGCAAGUCGAACGGAAAGGCCCUGCUUUUGUGGGGUGCUCGAGUGGCGAACGGGUGAGUAACACGUGAGUAACCUGCCCUUGACUUUGGGAUAACUUCAGGAAACUGGGGCUAAUACCGGAUAGGAGCUCCUGCUGCAUGGUGGGGGUUGGAAAGUUUCGGCGGUUGGGGAUGGACUCGCGGCUUAUCAGCUUGUUGGUGGGGUAGUGGCUUACCAAGGCUUUGACGGGUAGCCGGCCUGAGAGGGUGACCGGCGACAAUGGGACUGAGAGACGGCCCAGACUCCUACGGGGGGCAACAGUGGGGAAUAUUGCACAAUGGGCGGAAGCCUGAUGCAGCAACGCCGCGUGCGGGAUGACGGCCUUCGGGUUGUAAACCGCUUUCGCCUGUGACGAAGCGUGAGUGACGGUAAUGGGUAAAGAAGCACCGGCUAACUACGUG